ACGCUGGCGGCGUGCCUAAUACAUGCAAGUAGAACGCUGAAGCUUGGUGCUUGCACCGAGCGGAGGAGUUGCGAACGGGUGAGUAACGCGUAGGUAACCUGCCUCUUAGCGGGGGAUAACUAUUGGAAACGAUAGCUAAUACCGCAUAAAAGUCGACAUUGCAUGAUGUUGACUUGAAAGGUGCAACUGCAUCACUAAGAGAUGGACCUGCGUUGUAUUAGCUAGUUGGUGAGGUAACGGCUCACCAAGGCGACGAUACAUAGCCGACCUGAGAGGGUGAUCGGCCACACUGGGACUGAGACACGGCCCAGACUCCUACGGGAGGCAGCAGUAGGGAAUCUUCGGCAAUGGACGGAAGUCUGACCGAGCAACGCCGCGUGAGUGAAGAAGGUUUUCGGAUCGUAAAGCUCUGUUGUAAGAGAAGAACGAGUGUGAGAGUGGAAAGUUCACACUGUGACGGUAACUUACCAGAAAGGGACGGCUAACUACGUGCCAGCAGCCGCGGUAAUACGUAGGUCCCGAGCGUUAUCCGGAUUUAUUGGGCGUAAAGCGAGCGCAGGCGGUUAGAUAAGUCUGAAGUUAAAGGCUGUGGCUUAACCAUAGUACGCUUUGGAAACUGUUUAACUUGAGUGCAGAAGGGGAGAGUGGAAUUCCAUGUGUAGCGGUGAAAUGCGUAGAUAUAUGGAGGAACACCGGUGGCGAAAGCGGCUCUCUGGUCUGUAACUGACGCUGAGGCUCGAAAGCGUGGGGAGCAAACAGGAUUAGAUACCCUGGUAGUCCACGCCGUAAACGAUGAGUGCUAGGUGUUGGGUCCUUUCCGGGACUCAGUGCCGCAGCUAACGCAUUAAGCACUCCGCCUGGGGAGUACGACCGCAAGGUUGAAACUCAAAGGAAUUGACGGGGGCCCGCAC
rnacentral:rRNA from 1 species